GAUGAACGCUGGCGGCGUGCCUAAUACAUGCAAGUAGAACGCUGAAGCUUGGUGCUUGCACCGAGCGGAGGAGUUGCGAACGGGUGAGUAACGCGUAGGUAACCUGCCUCUUAGCGGGGGAUAACUAUUGGAAACGAUAGCUAAUACCGCAUAAAAGUCGACAUUGCAUGAUGUUGACUUGAAAGGUGCAACUGCAUCACUAAGAGAUGGACCUGCGUUGUAUUAGCUAGUUGGUGAGGUAACGGCUCACCAAGGCGACGAUACAUAGCCGACCUGAGAGGGUGAUCGGCCACACUGGGACUGAGACACGGCCCAGACUCCUACGGGAGGCAGCAGUAGGGAAUCUUCGGCAAUGGACGGAAGUCUGACCGAGCAACGCCGCGUGAGUGAAGAAGGUUUUCGGAUCGUAAAGCUCUGUUGUAAGAGAAGAACGAGUGUGAGAGUGGAAAGUUCACACUGUGACGGUAACUUACCAGAAAGGGACGGCUAACCACGUGCCAGCAGCCGCGGUAAUACGUAGGUCCCGAGCGUUAUCCGGAUUUAUUGGGCGUAAAGCGAGCGCAGGCGGUUAGAUAAGUCUGAAGUUAAAGGCUGUGGCUUAACCAUAGUACGCUUUGGAAACUGUUUAACUUGAGUGCAGAAGGGGAGAGUGGAAUUCCAUGUGUAGCGGUGAAAUGCGUAGAUAUAUGGAGGAACACCGGUGGCGAAAGCGGCUCUCUGGUCUGUAACUGACGCUGAGGCUCGAAAGCGUGGGGAGCAAACAGG
rnacentral:rRNA from 1 species